rnacentral:rRNA from 1 species
AAGGGCACCACAAGAACGCGUGGAGCAUGUGGCUUAAUUUGACUCAACGCGGGAAAUCUUACCGGGUCCGGACACACUGAGGAUUGACAGGCAAUAUUAAUACGUGUUCGCACGUAUUAUGUUAAAUAUGCUAGUCCUUUCAUGAUUAUGUGAUAGGUGGUGCAUGGCCGUUCUUAGUUCGUGGAGUGAUCUGUCUGCUUAAUUGCGUUUCACUAAGGGCCUAUAAAUUUACGUGUGUUGCGGCACUUUGACCCCUUUCCUCGGAAAGCGCGCGUCUUAGUUUGCUUUGCUCACACAAUUAGGUCCUGAAAGCAACGAACGUGACCGCAACCUCUUGUUGCCUUUAUACCAAACAUGUUUGUCAUUUUUAUGGCAUUCAUGAAAAAAGGCUUUUUAAACUAGAGGGACCGCUGUUACUUUCUUAAACCAGAGGAAGGUUGCGGCAAUAACAGGUCUGUGAUGCCCUUAGAUGUUCCGGGCUGCACACGUGCUACAAUGAUUAUUGCAGUGAGCAUCUCAUUUUUACACACCGCAUGCGCGAGUCCAUUUAUUCACUUCGGUGCUUUAAAUGUGUAUUUCUGCGCGCGGUAAAGCCUGCUUCGAAAGUAAGUGGGUAAUCAAUUAGAAGUAAUGAUUUCCUUUUUAGCACACAUAUAUACGGCGUCUAUACCCGGGUUACCUUGUUGUAACUUUUGUGUGUAUAGAUGUUUUUUCCGUAUGUGCGAUUGUCAAUUCAUGGUGGGGACAGACCAUUGUUAAUUGUUGGUCUCGGUCUUAACUAGGAAUGCCUUGUACGGGUCUUUGGUUCAACAAACCACCCGGAAUACGUCCCUGCCCUUUGUACACACCGCCCGUCGCUCUUACCGAUGGACUUCUCUGUGAGUUUGAGGGACUGGGAACGCAGAAUUUAUUCUGCACACCUAUGGAAACUUAAACGAACAGUGUGGUCUAAAGGAAAGAGAAGUCGAACAAGGCA